GGACGAACGCUGGCGGCGUGCUUAACACAUGCAAGUCGAACGCUGAAGCUCAGCUUUUGUUGGGUGGAUGAGUGGCGAACGGGUGAGUAACGCGUGAGUAACCUGCCCCCUUCUUUGGGAUAACGCCCGGAAACGGGUGCUAAUACUGGAUAUUCACUGGUCUUCGCAUGGGGGUUGGUGGAAAGGGUUUUUCUGGUGGGGGAUGGGCUCGCGGCCUAUCAGCUUGUUGGUGGGGUGAUGGCCUACCAAGGCUUUGACGGGUAGCCGGCCUGAGAGGGUGACCGGUCACAUUGGGACUGAGAUACGGCCCAGACUCCUACGGGAGGCAGCAGUGGGGAAUAUUGCACAAUGGGCGCAAGCCUGAUGCAGCGACGCCGCGUGAGGGAUGGAGGCCUUCGGGUUGUGAACCUCUUUCGCUCAUGGUCAAGCCGCAACAAUGGUUGUGGUGAGGGUAGUGGGUAAAGAAGCGCCGGCUAACUACGUG
rnacentral:rRNA from 1 species